rnacentral:rRNA from 1 species
AUUGAACGCUGGCGGCAUGCUUUACACAUGCAAGUCGAACGGUAACAGGCCGCAAGGUGCUGACGAGUGGCGAACGGGUGAGUAAUGCAUCGGAACGUGCCCAGUCGUGGGGGAUAACGCAGCGAAAGCUGCGCUAAUACCGCCUACGAUCUAUGGAUGAAAGCGGGGGACCGAACGGCCUCGCGCGCUUGGAGCGGCCGAUGUCUGAUUAGGUAGUUGGUGGGGGAAAGGCUCACCAAGCCAACGAUCGGUAGCUGGUCUGAGAGGACGACCAGCCACACUGGGACUGAGACACGGCCCAGACUCCUACGGGAGGCAGCAGUGGGGAAUUUUGGACAAUGGGCGCAAGCCUGAUCCAGCAAUGCCGCGUGCAGGAAGAAGGCCUUCGGGUUGUAAACUGCUUUUGUACGGAACGAAACGGUCCUGGUUAAUACCUGGGGCUAAUGACGGUACCGUAAGAAUAAGCACCGGCUAACUACGUGCCAGCCGCCGCCGUAAGAC